GAUAGGAACAACUGUCUUUCAUACAGAUUGGCAUAAUAGCAUGGCCCCUGCGCAAGGAUGACACGCAAAUUCGUGAAGCGUUCCAAAUUUUU
rnacentral:snRNA from 1 species